ensembl:lncRNA novel transcript
CCUGGUUUCACUGAUGAGGAAACUGAGGCCUAUGAGGAGAUCAGAAGUGCCCUGUGGCCACUCCAGGCUUCAACAUGGGACCGUGGCGCCAAAGCUCAGCCCAGCCACGCACAGGGCUUCUCUGCUGUAGCGAAGCCUUUGGAUUCUCCAGUGAGAAGGUUCUGUAGGCUCCUAGAAAAAGCACGGGAGACCAUGGGCAGUCAUAGUUCACAUCUGUCAUCUGGGAAAAAUUAUAAUUCUGUUCUCUUACACUCUCAAAAUCAUCACGGUUUGAUGUGAAACUGGUAAGCUCUGAGCGGGGUUGGGAGUGCAUCAAUGCGUUAUCUGGCUGUGGUAGCAGAUGAGUUAUGCAAAAUAUUUCCGCUGGGGAAAGUGGGUGAGGGCAUAUGGAAUUCUGUUUGUGUUAAUUCUUGCAACAGUGUGCAAAUCUACAAUUAUCUCAAAAUUAAAAGUUUUUAAAAAAUUA